CACUUUGAAUCCCUGAGUUCUUCUUUCCGACUCUUUUCGUUGGAGGAAAACUCUUAACCCCACACUUUGCGAACGAUGAUUUAUAUUAUCCGCAAGGAUAAUAUUUAUCCCCCUUUUUCUCCUUUUCAUUUUUUUAUUUUUUACCCCAAUUUACAUCAAUUCGACUGAUAUAAACUUUUUUUCUUUUUCAUUAAAGAAAAAAAACUAAAACAAAAUGGUUAAAA
rnacentral:misc_RNA from 1 species